GUUGCGCAGUAUGACUCUGCGAACCCCGCCAGGAGCGGGAG
rnacentral:SRP_RNA from 1 species